rnacentral:rRNA from 1 species
UGAGGAAUAUUGGGCAAUGCCCGAAAGGGUGACCCAGCAACGCCGCGUGGAGGAUGAAGGUCGUAAGAUUGUAAACUCCUGUUAGAGGGGAAGAAUAACUAAGUUUGGAGCUUAGUAUGACUGUACCCUCAGAGAAAGCCCCGGCUAACUACGUGCCAGCAGCCGCGGUAAUACGUAGGGGGCAAGCGUUGUCCGGAUUUACUGGGUGUAAAGGGCGCGCAGGCGGAAUGGAAAGUCAGUGGUGAAAUCCUACAGCUUAACUGUAGAACUGCCUUUGAUACUUUCAUUCUUGAGUUCGGGAGAGAGAGACGGAAUUCCAGGUGUAGUGGUGAAAUACGUAGAUAUCUGGAAGAACACCAGUUGCGAAGGCGGUCUCUUGGUCCGAUACUGACGCUGAGGCGCGAAAGCGUGGGGAGCAAA